AUUGAACGCUGGCGGCAUGCCUCAUACAUGCAAGUCGAACGGAAACAGGACGCUAGGAUCCCUUCGGGGUGACUUUGUCGCUGUCGAGUGGCGGACGGGUGAGUAACGCAUAGGAAUCUACCCAGUAGUGGGGGACAACACGGAGAAAUCCGUGCUAAUACCGCAUACGUCCUACGGGAGAAAACGGGGGAUCUUCGGACCUCGUGCUAUUGGAUGAGCCUAUGUCAGAUUAGCUUGUUGGUAAGGUAACGGCUUACCAAGGCAACGAUCUGUAGCUGGUCUGAGAGGAUGAUCAGCCACACUGGAACUGAGACACGGUCCAGACUCCUACGGGAGGCAGCAGUAGGGAAUAUUGCACAAUGGGCGAAAGCCUGAUGCAGCAAUGCCGCGUGUGUGAAGAAGGCCUGCGGGUUGUAAAGCAC
rnacentral:rRNA from 1 species